AUGUCGUCGUCUUCUCAACAUUCGAUUCUUGCCGAUGUUCCUCUUCUUCUAACAACGGCGCAAUUCUCAGCUAUUUCUCCACUCAAAUCCUCUCUGUCAACUCUCGUCUCUAACAAUCUCUCUCUGACAUUAUUGACAAAUUUUCAUGGAGUUAUGCUAAUGAAAUUCAACGGAAUUUUCGGACCUCUAAAAUACUUGGAGUGA